CCUCUCCUACCCAGAUACCGAUGUUAUACUGAUGUGUUUUUCCAUCGACAGCCCUGAUAGUUUAGGUGAGUGGCCCUGCACCCUGAUAUUUGUCACUGCCUGUGUAGCUAGUUGGCAUCUGGUUUCUGGGCAUCAAGUGGCUGAAAAGCAGACAUGAACUUCAGAGAAGCAAUCAUCGUCAGUGGCCGGAGUCCUGGAGUUUGGGAUUGUAGAGCGUGGGCCUUGGGUCCCUUUCAGCCUAGGUCUCCCAUGGGUACUGUAUUUAAAAUGUAUCCACCUAGGCAGGGCACGGUGCCUGACACCUAUAAUCCCUGCGCUUUGGGAGGUCCAGACGGGUGGAUCACCUGAGGGUCAGGAGUUCAAGACCAGCCUGGCCAACAUGGUGAAACCCCGUCUUUACUAAAAGUACAAAAAAAUUAGCCAGGCAUGGUGGUGCACGCCUGUAGUCCCAGGUACUUGGGAGGCUGAGGCAGGAGAAUCGUUUGAACCUGGUAGGUGGAGAUUGCAGUGAGCCGAGAUUAUGGCACUGCAUUCCAGACUGAGCAACAGAGCAAGACUCUAUCUCAAAAAUAAUAAUUAUUAUUAUUAUUACUAAAUAAUAUUAAAUGUUAUUUAAAAAUCUAACUGCCUUGUAAACUAGAUGAAUUCCAGAUACAAAGAUGAGUAAACUAAGGCUGGUGCGGCGGCUGACACCUGUAAUCCUAGCACUUUGGGAGGCCGAGGCUGGCAGAUCACCUGAGGUCAGGAGUUUGAGACCAGCCUAGGCAACAUGGUGAACCCCUUGUCUCUACUAAAAUACAAAAAUUAGCUGGGUGUGGUGGCGUGCACUUGUAAUCCCAGCUAUUCCAGGGGCUGAGGCAGGAGAAUCACUUGAGCCUGGGAAGCAGAAGUUGCAGUGAGCCAAGAUCAUGCCACUGUACUGCAGACUCCAUCUCCCAAAAAAAAAGAUGAGCAAACUAGAUGAGUUCCAAAUGUAAAGCCAUCUCUUUUGGGGAAAGACUUUCUUUUUUUUGGUUGCCCUGUCUUAGCCUUUUUCUGAAGUGUCUUAGCUGAUAGAAGCUUGAAUGUGAUCAUUUCAUUAGCCUAAACACAGCCACAUAAUUCAGAAGUCAGUAAGUCAGUAUUCUUUUUUUUUUUUUUUUUUUUUUUUGAGAGGGAGUCUUGCUCUGUCUCCCAGGCUGGAUUGCAGCAGCUUGAUCUCAGCUCACUGCAAGCUCUGCCUCCUGGGUUGAUGCCAUUCUCCUGCCUCAGCCACCCAAGUAGCUGGGACUACAGGUGGCCACCACCACGCCCGGCUAAUUUUUUGUAUUUUUUAGUAGAGAUGGGAUUUCACCACGUUAGCCAGGAUGAUCUUGAUCUCCUGACCUCGUGAUCCGCCUGCCUCGGCCUCCCAAAGUGCUGGGAUUACAGGCGUGAGCCACUGCGCCUGGCCCAGAAGUCAGUAUUCUUUAGAAAAAGACUGAAGAAUGCUAACCUGACAUUCUGUGAAACCAGGCUUGAAAAAACUUGCUUUAGGUUUGUGCUGAAGAUGAUGAGGUAUCUAUUAAUAAACUUGUGCUGCAGCCCUCCCUGUCAUGACAGGGCAGCAGGUGGGUCAAGGAUGUUGUCGUCAUUACCACAAACAGCCUUUGAGGGUCUGCUUGUGGCCUCGGGUUGCCUGGAUAGUUAGUGUUAGAGUGAUUGUGUUGUUAUGGUUGUCCCUACCUUAAUGAUGAUAACUGGGGUUGCUCCAAGAUAUUGAGCCACUUGUUUAAGGUCAUGCUGGCCCAAGGAGCUGAGCUAAGAUUGAGUCCUCUGUGCAGUAUGUCCCAGGACAGAGAAAGAGCACGUAUUCCAUGCCGUUGGUUCACUUAGAUCAUUUUCAGCAGUUAUGAUUGAUUGAUUGAUUUAGAGGCGGGGUCUCGCUCUGUUGCCCAGGCUGGAGUUGUAGUGAGCUGAGAUUGCGCCACUGCGCUCCAGCCUGGGCGACAGAGCAAGAGUCCAUCUAAAAAAAAAAAAAAAAAACUUCUGUUCUAGAUGAGGGAAGACAGAAUAGGCUCCCCUCAAUGCCCCCAAAAAAGUAAAUCAGAAAAUAACAACAGUAAACCCAGUAACAGUAAAUAUUACAAAUAACAUUUGUAGAGGUGGGUCAUGGUUGUAUGCUGUUUUGUUUUAUUUAUUUUUAUUUUUGUUUUUUUGAGACAGACUUUUGCUCUUGUCACGCAGGCUGGAGUGCAAUGGUGCGAUCUCAGCUCACUGCACUCCGCCUCCCGGGUUCAAGCACUUCUUCUGCCUCAGCCUCCCAAGUAGCUGGGAUUACAGGCAUGCACCACCAUGCCUGACUAAUUUUUGUAUUAUUAGUAGAGACAGGGUUUCAACAUGUUGGCCAGACUGGUCUCAAACUCCUGAUCCACCUGCCUCGGCCUCCCAAAGUGCUGAGAUUACAGGCCUGAUGAGCCACUGCACCUGGUCUAUUUAUUUUUAUUUAUUUAUUUAUUUAUUUAUUUUGAGACGGAGUCUCGCUCUGUCGCCCAGGCUGGAGGGCAGUGGCACGAUCUUGGCUCACUGCAACCUCCACCUCCCUGGUUCAAGGAAUUUCCCUGCCUCAGCCUCCCUAGUAGCUGGGAUUACAGGUGUGCACCACCAUGCCCAGUUAAUUUUUUUGUUUUGUUUUGUUGUUUUUGAGACGGAGUUUCGCUCUUGUUGCCCAGGCUGGAGUGCAAUGGCACGAUCUCGGCUCACUGCAACUUCCGCCUCCCGGGUUCAAGCGAUUCUCCAGCCUCAGCCUCUCAAGUAGCUGGGAUUGCAGGCAUGUGCCACCACGCCCAGCUAAUUUUGUAUUUUUAGUAGAGACGGGGUUUCUCCAUGUUGGUUAUGCUGGUCUCCCAACUCCCGACCUGAGGUGAUCCACCCGCCCCGGCCUUCACAGUGCUGGGAUUAUAGGCAUGAACCACUGCGCCUGGCAAUCUUUUUGUAUUUUUAAUAGAGAUGGGGUUUCACCAUGUUGGCCAGACUGGUCUCGAACUCCUGACCUAACGCGAUCCACCUGCCUCAGCCUCUCAAAGUUUUGGGAUUAUAGACGUGAGCCACUGCGCCCAGCCUAUUUAUUUGUUUUUAAGAGAUGAAGUCUCACUUUGUCACCCUGGCUGGAGUGCAGUAGUAGCGUGAUCAUAGCUCACUGCUACCUUGAAUCCUGGACUCCAGUGAUCCUCCCACCUCAGCCUCUCAAGUAGGUGGGAAUGCAGGCACAUGUACCACUGUAAACUGCUAAGUUUUUGUAUGUUUUUGUGGAGAUGGGGUUUUUGACUUUUUUGAUACAGAGUCUCACUCUGUUGCCCAGGCUGGAGUGAGUGUAGUAUUGCGAUCUCGACUCAUCACAACCUCCACCUCCUGGGUUCAAGUGUUUCUUCUGCCUCAGCCUCCCAAGUAGCUGGGACUAUAGGUGCACACCACUGCGCCCGGCUAAUUUUAGUAAUUUUAGUAGAGAUGAGGUUUCGCCAUGUUGGCCAGGCUGGUCUCGAACUCCUGACCUCUGGUGAUCCACCCACCUAAGCCUCCCAAAGUGCUGGGAUUACAGGCACGAGCCACCACGCUGUCUGGAGAUGGGGUUUAGCCAUGUUGCAUAGGCUGUUCUUGAGCUCCUAGGCCCAAGCUGUCUACUUGCCUUAGCCUCUCAAAAGUGCUGGAAUUACAAGUAUGAGUCACCACGCCCAGCCUCUUUUGGUUAUUUUCAAAAGUCACUUUUUUUUAUUUGAGACGGAGUCUUGCUCUGUCGCCCAGGAGUGCAGUGGCGCGAUCUCAGCUCAUGGCAAGCUCUGCCUCCCGGGUUCACACCAUUCUCCUGCCUCAGCCUCCUGAAUAGCUGGGACUACAGGUGCCCACCACUACACCCGGCUAAUUUUUUUUGUAUUUUUAGUAGAGACGGGGUUUCACUGUGUUAGCCAGGAUGGUCUCGAUCUCCUGACCUCAUGAUCCGCCCACCUUGGCCUCCCAAAGUGCUGGGAUUACAGGCAUGAGCCACCGCUCCCGGCCAAAAGUCACUCUUCAGCCAUUUGAAAUACCAGUAAACCCCAUAGGGUAGAAGUUAUGCUGAGAGUUGAUGAACAAGUUAGAAAAAGAACAUGUGGACCCUGGGUCAGCUGCUGCCCUAGAAUGGGGACCCCUUCUGUAAGCUAUGUCAGAAUCAUCUACCAGCAGUGACAGAUGUCCUGUAAAGUGCCUGCCUUUGUGGGGCAGGAAGUGCCCCCCGUGAAACUACCUUGUGUUGUGGAUCUUUUGCUCCUCCAGAGCCCUUACUCGGGCCCCACCUACAGAGAUGCUCAGCACCACUCUUGGCUGGACUGAGAAAAAGCUGUUGGUUCUCUGUUUAAAGGAAAGGGAUUAUAUUUCCUUUUUAUGGUUUUGAAACUAGUGAGUUUCAUUAAAUGUCUAGCAUUUUUCUGAAGCCACAAAGAAAGUGUCUCUGCAAUUUCACUGAGGUUCUUGGAAAGUCUUCAAGAUAGAAUUGUAUGUAUCCCCAAAUUCUCUACAUUUUUCUUUCAGAAAACAUCCCAGAAAAGUGGACCCCAGAAGUCAAGCAUUUCUGUCCCAACGUGCCCAUCAUCCUGGUUGGGAAUAAGAAGGAUCUUCGGAAUGAUGAGCACACAAGGCGGGAGCUAGCCAAGAUGAAGCAGGCAUGAUCUGGGGCAGGACUGUCUUGUAGUAUUCUUGAACUAGGGCCCCAAGUUUGGAGGUUUGGGGAGCCCAGCAGGAACCUUCACAGGCCAGGUUGUUUUAGAGGCUCAGAAGCCCCUCUGUGGCCCUCUGACCCUCAUUAAUUGGGAUCUUCACAGAAGAUCCCUAAGAUAGUUCACCAGUCCUGUGAGAUGGAAUGUUUUUUUAUGAGGUAGUGCUAUGCCCAUAAGGACUGCUGGCCUGAGAAUGAACCAUUUCAUUAGUAGCUAGUAAUCAGUGGCUCUAGAUGUAGGAACUUUCUUUUUUUUGAUAUGGAGUCUCAUUCUGUCACCCAGGCUGGAGUGCAGUGGCGCAAUCUCAGCUCACUGCAACCUCCGCCUCCGGGGUUCAAGCGAUUCUUCUGCCUCAGACUCCCGAGUAGCUGGGACUACAGGCACCCUCCACCAUGACCGGCUAAUUUUUUUUUUUUUUAAUAGAUGGGGUUUCACCCUGUUGGCCAGGCUGGUCUUGAACUCCUUACCUCAAGUGAUCUGCCCACUUUUGCCUCCCAAAGUGCAGGGAUUACAGGUGUGAGCCACUGUGCCUGGCCUCUGUUAGACUCUUUAUUUUUAUUUUUUGAGACACAGUUUUGCUUUUGUCACCCAGGCUGGAAUGCAGUGAUGCUAUCUCGGCUGCAACCUCAGCCUCCAAGGUUUAAGUGAUUCUCCUGCCUCAGCCUCCCAAGUUGCUGGGAUUACAGGCAUGUGCCACCACGCCUGGCUAAUUUUUGUAUUUUUAGUAGAGACGGGUUUUCUCCAUGUUGGUCAGGCUGGUCUCAAACUCCUGACCUUAGGUGAUCUGCCCGCCUUGGCCUCCCAAAGUGCUGGGAUUACAGGUGUGAGCCACCACGCCCGGGCCUGUUAGACUCUUGAUUGCCUUCCCCAGCUAUUACUUUGGUACAUGUGAGGCCAAAGAUAAAUUAGUGGCAACUGAAAGAUAAGGAAAUCUUGAAGGCUGGGAGUCCAGAUAGAAAGCCCUAAUGCCUUCCCUCUCCUCCACUCCCAAUGCCUUUUUAAAAGUGAUGAUGGAUGUGGCAUCUUGGCCUCUCAGAAACCAGCUGGCCUAAUGGCAGGGCUUCCUCACUGGAGGAGAAGCAUUGAGAUCUUCAACCUAAGUUCUCUUACUCAGGUUUCUCUGUCUGAAUGUCAAGGGUAGGCUUUAUUUCCUUCAGGGCAUUUAGUCCUGGAUUGGUAGCUUGAGUAAUUUUGCUCUUGAUUGACUCCUUAACCUUCCAGGGCUCCUCUGACCUCUUCCCUCUACUUCCCAGUGAAUACCAUGUUUAUUAGAGAUUUUAUGUUUGGUAGGGGGUAGUUACCAUAUGUCAGUUUAAAAAUUUCAUAAGUUUAGCAGUUUGUUGUUUUUUUUUUUUGUUUUGUUUUUUUUGAGAAGGAGCCUCACUGUGUCGCCAGGCUGGAGUGCUGUGGCACGAUCUUGGCUCAACUGCAACCUCCGCCUCCCAGAUUUAAGCGAUUCCCCUGCCUCAGCCUCCUGAGUAGCUGGGGUUACAGGCGCCCACUACCACACCCAGGUGAUUUUUUGUAUUUUAGUAAAGAGGGGUUUCACCAUGUUGGCCAGGAUGGUCUUGAUCUCCUAAACUCGUGAUCCGCCCAGCUCAGCCUCCCAAAGUGCUGGGAUUACAGGUGUGAGCCACCACACCCAGCCAAGUUUAACAGCUUUUGAAAGUCUUUUUUUUUUUUAGGCUGGGUACAGUGGCUCAUGCCUGUAUCCCAGCACUUUGGGAGGCCGAGGUGGGCAGAUCACUUGGUCAGGAGUUCGAGACCAGCCUGGCCAAAAUGGUGAAACCCCAUCUCUACUAAAAAAUUACUUGGGCGUGGUGGUGGGCACCUGUAGUCCCAGCUACUCGGGAGGCUGAGGCGGGAGAAUCCCUUGAACCCAGGAGGUGGAGGUUGCAGUCAGCUGAGAUCAUGCCAUUGCCCUCCAGCCUGGGCGACCGACGAGCAAAACUGUCUCAAAAAAAGAAAAAAAAAUCUUUUAGAUGAAUUUGAAUACUUUUUACUUACUAUAUGUAUGCCACACUAUUAGCUAAAAGGACUAUUUUUUUUUCUUUGCUAGGAGCCGGUGAAACCUGAAGAAGGCAGAGAUAUGGCAAACAGGAUUGGCGCUUUUGGGUACAUGGAGUGUUCAGCAAAGACCAAAGAUGGAGUGAGAGAGGUUUUUGAAAUGGCUACGAGAGCUGCUCUGCAAGCUAGACGUGGGAAGAAAAAAUCUGGGUGCCUUGUCUUGUGAAACCUUGCUGCAAGCACAGCCCUUAUGCGGUUAAUUUUGAAGUGCUGUUUAUUAAUCUUA
rnacentral:lncRNA from 1 species